ensembl:lncRNA
CUCCUAGAGUAGGGAGUCUGGGCACAUUAAUAUCAAGGUAAGGAUUCUGAAAGUGAGUCAAGUGCGUAUGCACCCAUAUCAACAGGCCCAAGCAACAGGCCAUGGUGGAGACUGACAGUCACCUACCCAGUAUCUAUUCUUCAGCAUCCUUAGUGGCAAGUAGGAUUGAGGGAUGAGCUCAGUAUUGCUGGAGCUUCCAAGUUUUAGAUGCUUAGAUUCUCCAUUUUAUAUGAGCCCUCCAGAUUUUUCAGUGUUGGCAACCAACCAAAACCAAUAUUUAAUCUUGCCUGGGCCAAACACAAUACAUCUGUGGCCCAUAUCCCAUCUCUCUUCUGCUUGUUGGCAACCCCUGCUUUCUGGUGAACGUCAGAGCCCUUUAAACACCUGAAGGGCAUGGGAGCCGGGUUACACUUCCUCCGUGUGGCUCUGAGCCAGUGCAUGCAAGUCACGAGCUAGGAGGUUUCGUCUCCUCUGUUAGGAAGAGCUCCAUCCGCAGAGCUGUCAGAAACAGAAGGAGCUGCCUGGGGAGGUAGGAAGUUCCCUGUCGCUGGAGGUGUUUGAGCAGAUGCUGGAGAACUGCUUGGCAAUGACUUCUAAGGUCUCCCCAGCCCCAGGAGUCUCUGAAAAUUUCCAUGAUGACUACUGCUGCUGCAGUGACUUGUUUGAAAGGAGACAAAAAGAAGGUGGAAUCUGCACGUGAUGGUGACCCAGCUUCCAUCAUGCAGAUGAUCUUGAGGACUGGGAGGUCAGCAGAGCAGAAACUGGAAGGAACCUGAGUUUCUGAAUAACCAUGAGGAGCAAAGCUUCCAUUCACCUGGAUUGUUCAUCUCACAACUGCUACAUGAAUAGAAAUAAAUAUAUUCUUUAAGCCACUGCAUUUUGGGAUCUAUAUUAGCCUACUCUACCAAAUACAAUGAGUUUAUAGGAGUUAGCCAUGUGGAAAAAUGGAGAGAGACAGAUUUCAAAGCACCCAGUCAAGAGAGAGCAUUGCACUUCAAGAUGCAUGAAGCAGUGGCUGUGAAAGGGCUUCAUAUAAUAAUAUGAUAUCUCAGACAUUUAUUUCUCACAGUUCUGGAGGCAGGGAAGUCUAAGAUCAAGGGGCCUGUAGAUUCAGUGCCUGGUGAGAGCUAUCCCUGGCUUGCAGAAGGUUGCCUUCUCGUGUUUUCACAUGGUGUGGAGAGGGAGCUCUGGUCUUUCCUCCUCUUCUUAUAAGGACACUCAUCCCAUCAUAGGGGCUCCACCCUCAUGACCUCAUCUAACCCUAGUCACUUCCCAAAGGCCCCACCUCCAAAUACUAUCUUAUUGGGAGUUAGAUCUUCAACAUAUGAAUGGGGGAAGGGGGCACAAACAUUCAGACCAUUACAGGUGGAAGAAAGGAAGACCGGGCCAUAGCUUGGACCUUGUGUGCCUUGUGAGGACCUUGGAUGCCAUCCUGUGGGCUGUGGGGAGCCAAGCUGGGGAGUGAUAUGAUCAGGUUAGCUUUUCAAUCUGUCAGCUUGAGCUGGAACCUGCAAAAUUUUAAAUUUAUAAAGUACUUCAGAAGACCAGCCAGUCAUACAA